UGGGGAAUAUUGCACAAUGGGCGCAAGCCUGAUGCAGCCAUGCCGCGUGUAUGAAGAAGGCCUUCUGGUUGUAAAGUACUUUCAGCGAGGAGGAAGGCGGUAAGGUUAAUAACCUUAUCGAUUGACGUUACUCGCAGAAGAAGCACCGGCUAACUCCGUGCCAGCAGCCGCGGUAAUACGGAGGGUGCAAGCGUUAAUCGGAAUUACUGGGCGUAAAGCGCACGCAGGCGGUCUGUCAAGUCGGAUGUGAAAUCCCCGGGCUCAACCUGGGAACUGCAUUCGAAACUGGCAGGCUAGAGUCUUGUAGAGGGGGGUAGAAUUCCAGGUGUAGCGGUGAAAUGCGUAGAGAUCUGGAGGAAUACCGGUGGCGAAGGCGGCCCCCUGGACAAAGACUGACGCUCAGGUGCGAAAGCGUGGGGAGCAAACA
rnacentral:rRNA from 1 species